rnacentral:rRNA from 2 species
GGUUAAGCGACUAAGCGUACACGGUGGAUGCCCUGGCAGUCAGAGGCGAUGAAGGACGUGCUAAUCUGCGAUAAGCGUCGGUAAGGUGAUAUGAACCGUUAUAACCGGCGAUUUCCGAAUGGGGAAACCCAGUGUGAUUCGUCACACUAUCAUUAACUGAAUCCAUAGGUUAAUGAGGCGAACCGGGGGAACUGAAACAUCUAAGUACCCCGAGGAAAAGAAAUCAACCGAGAUUCCCCCAGUAGCGGCGAGCGAACGGGGAGGAGCCCAGAGCCUGAAUCAGUGUGUGUGUUAGUGGAAGCGUCUGGAAAGGCGCGCGAUACAGGGUGACAGCCCCGUACACAAAAAUGCACAUACUGUGAGCUCGAUGAGUAGGGCGGGACACGUGGUAUCCUGUCUGAAUAUGGGGGGACCAUCCUCCAAGGCUAAAUACUCCUGACUGACCGAUAGUGAACCAGUACCGUGAGGGAAAGGCGAAAAGAACCCCGGCGAGGGGAGUGAAAAAGAACCUGAAACCGUGUACGUACAAGCAGUGGGAGCCUCUUUUAUGGGGUGACUGCGUACCUUUUGUAUAAUGGGUCAGCGACUUAUAUUCUGUAGCAAGGUUAACCGAAUAGGGGAGCCGAAGGGAAACCGAGUCUUAACCGGGCGUUAAGUUGCAGGGUAUAGACCCGAAACCCGGUGAUCUAGCCAUGGGCAGGUUGAAGGUUGGGUAACACUAACUGGAGGACCGAACCGACUAAUGUUGAAAAAUUAGCGGAUGACUUGUGGCUGGGGGUGAAAGGCCAAUCAAACCGGGAGAUAGCUGGUUCUCCCCGAAAGCUAUUUAGGUAGCGCCUCGUGAAUUCAUCUCCGGGGGUAGAGCACUGUUUCGGCAAGGGGGUCAUCCCGACUUACCAACCCGAUGCAAACUGCGAAUACCGGAGAAUGUUAUCACGGGAGACAUACGGCGGGUGCUAACGUCCGUCGUGAAGAGGGAAACAACCCAGACCGCCAGCUAAGGUCCCAAAGUCAUGGUUAAGUGGGAAACGAUGUGGGAAGGCCCAGACAGCCAGGAUGUUGGCUUAGAAGCAGCCAUCAUUUAAAGAAAGCGUAAUAGCUCACUGGUCGAGUCGGCCUGCGCGGAAGAUGUAACGGGGCUAAACCAUGCACCGAAGCUGCGGCAGCGACACUGUGUGUUGUUGGGUAGGGGAGCGUUCUGUAAGCCUGUGAAGGUGUACUGUGAGGUAUGCUGGAGGUAUCAGAAGUGCGAAUGCUGACAUAAGUAACGAUAAAGCGGGUGAAAAGCCCGCUCGCCGGAAGACCAAGGGUUCCUGUCCAACGUUAAUCGGGGCAGGGUGAGUCGACCCCUAAGGCGAGGCCGAAAGGCGUAGUCGAUGGGAAACAGGUUAAUAUUCCUGUACUUGGUGUUACUGCGAAGGGGGGACGGAGAAGGCUAUGUUGGCCGGGCGACGGUUGUCCCGGUUUAAGCGUGUAGGCUGGUUUUCCAGGCAAAUCCGGAAAAUCAAGGCUGAGGCGUGAUGACGAGGCACUACGGUGCUGAAGCAACAAAUGCCCUGCUUCCAGGAAAAGCCUCUAAGCAUCAGGUAACAUCAAAUCGUACCCCAAACCGACACAGGUGGUCAGGUAGAGAAUACCAAGGCGCUUGAGAGAACUCGGGUGAAGGAACUAGGCAAAAUGGUGCCGUAACUUCGGGAGAAGGCACGCUGAUAUGUAGGUGAAGUCCCUCGCGGAUGGAGCUGAAAUCAGUCGAAGAUACCAGCUGGCUGCAACUGUUUAUUAAAAACACAGCACUGUGCAAACACGAAAGUGGACGUAUACGGUGUGACGCCUGCCCGGUGCCGGAAGGUUAAUUGAUGGGGUCAGCGCAAGCGAAGCUCUUGAUCGAAGCCCCGGUAAACGGCGGCCGUAACUAUAACGGUCCUAAGGUAGCGAAAUUCCUUGUCGGGUAAGUUCCGACCUGCACGAAUGGCGUAAUGAUGGCCAGGCUGUCUCCACCCGAGACUCAGUGAAAUUGAACUCGCUGUGAAGAUGCAGUGUACCCGCGGCAAGACGGAAAGACCCCGUGAACCUUUACUAUAGCUUGACACUGAACAUUGAGCCUUGAUGUGUAGGAUAGGUGGGAGGCUUUGAAGUGUGGACGCCAGUCUGCAUGGAGCCGACCUUGAAAUACCACCCUUUAAUGUUUGAUGUUCUAACGUGGACCCGUGAUCCGGGUUGCGGACAGUGUCUGGUGGGUAGUUUGACUGGGGCGGUCUCCUCCUAAAGAGUAACGGAGGAGCACGAAGGUUGGCUAAUCCUGGUCGGACAUCAGGAGGUUAGUGCAAUGGCAUAAGCCAGCUUGACUGCGAGCGUGACGGCGCGAGCAGGUGCGAAAGCAGGUCAUAGUGAUCCGGUGGUUCUGAAUGGAAGGGCCAUCGCUCAACGGAUAAAAGGUACUCCGGGGAUAACAGGCUGAUACCGCCCAAGAGUUCAUAUCGACGGCGGUGUUUGGCACCUCGAUGUCGGCUCAUCACAUCCUGGGGCUGAAGUAGGUCCCAAGGGUAUGGCUGUUCGCCAUUUAAAGUGGUACGCGAGCUGGGUUUAGAACGUCGUGAGACAGUUCGGUCCCUAUCUGCCGUGGGCGCUGGAGAACUGAGGGGGGCUGCUCCUAGUACGAGAGGACCGGAGUGGACGCAUCACUGGUGUUCGGGUUGUCAUGCCAAUGGCACUGCCCGGUAGCUAAAUGCGGAAGAGAUAAGUGCUGAAAGCAUCUAAGCACGAAACUUGCCCCGAGAUGAGUUCUCCCUGACCCUUUAAGGGUCCUGAAGGAACGUUGAAGACGACGACGUUGAUAGGCCGGGUGUGUAAGCGCAGCGAUGCGUUGAGCUAACCGGUACUAAUGAACCGUGAGGCUUAACCUU